rnacentral:lncRNA from 1 species
GUUUCACAUGGAGACAUCAGCCGUCAAGAGUGAAAUUUUGACUCUGCAAAGCGACCUCCAAAUCAAUCGAGGGCAUCGGGAGAACACUUUUGGAACCUUAUCGUGGAGGAAAAAUAUCCAAACAUGAGAAAAGUUGGCAUGUACUUGACAGAAUGUUUUGGAUCUACCUACAUUUGCGAGUCAGCAUUUUCAGACAUGAUCAAAAUACCGGUCCACUCUAACAGAUGACGCUGGACACCUGUUUGAGGCAAGCAAUCAGUAGCUACAUCCCAGACCAUGCUGAGCUUGCUGACAGCAUGCAGUGCAAAUCAUCCAAUCAAUAAGGAGAAGGAGAAGUAGAGGAGGAGUACUUGGAGGAUUUCUCAAGGGGCUGAGUCUACAGCACUAGGGGUGUCACCUGGGGCCUACUUCAAUGUUUGCAGCAGCAGGAUCCCUCACCUGUGCAGAUUUGUCUGUCUAAUCUGGUGUGGCUGUCUUGUAACCCAUAACCCAUGCAGAGUACAAUGGCCAGGAGAUUACCAUUGAAUAGAAAC